rnacentral:rRNA from 1 species
UUGGAGGGCAAGUCUGGUGCCCGCAGCCGCGGUAAUUCCAGCUCCAAUAGCGUAUAUUAAAGUUGUUGCAGUUAAAAAGCUCGUAGUUGAAUUUCGGGAUCAAUAUAUCGGUCGUGCCAUUGGUACGUACUGGUAUCAUUGGUUUCUCCUUUCUGACGAACCAUGAUGUCAUUAAUCUGGUGUUAUGGGAAGUUAGGACUGUUACUUUGGAAAAAUUAGAGUGUUUAAAGCAGGCUUUAGCUUGAAUACAUUAGCAUGGAAUAAUGAAAUAGGACGUUCGAACCUAUUUUGUUGGUUUCUAGGAUCAACGUAAUGAUUAAUAGGGAUAGUUGGGGGCAUUAGUAUUCAAUUGUCAGAGGUGAAAUUCUUGGAUUUAUUGAAGACUAACUACUGCGAAAGCAUUUGCCAAGGAUGUUUUCAUUAAUCAAGAACGAAAGUUAGGGGAUCGAAGACGAUCAGAUACCGUCGUAGUCUUAACCAUAAACUAUGCCGACUAGGGAUCGGAUGAUGUUAAUUUUUUAAUGAGCUCAUUCGGCGCCUUAGGGAAAC